AUGCCUUACACAUGCAAGUCGAACGGCAGGCACGGGAGCAAUCCUGGUGGCGAGUGGCGAACGGGUGAGUAAUAUAUCGGAACGUGCCCAGUCGUGGGGGAUAACGUAGUGAAAGCUACGCUAAUACCGCAUACGAUCUAUGGAUGAAAGCGGGGGAUCGCAAGACCUCGCGCGAUUGGAGCGGCCGAUAUCAGAUUAGGUAGUUGGUGAGGUAAAGGCUCACCAAGCCGACGAUCUGUAGCUGGUCUGAGAGGACGACCAGCCACACUGGGACUGAGACACGGCCCAGACUCCUACGGGAGGCAGCAGUGGGGAAUUUUGGACAAUGGGCGCAAGCCUGAUCCAGCAAUGCCGCGUGCAGGAUGAAGGCCUUCGGGUUGUAAACUGCUUUUGUACGGAACGAAACGGUGAGCUCUAAUACAGUUUGCUAAUGACGGUACCGUAAGAAUAAGCACCGGCUAACUACGUG
rnacentral:rRNA from 1 species